rnacentral:lncRNA from 1 species
UCAAAAGUUGAAAACAGUGGAAAGGAUAUUCCAAAACCGGCUGAACAGAAGAGCCAGACCACGAAACCUAAGAAGGCCGUCAAACCAGACCAGCCUCCACAAAUUGUCAAGGAAUUGGUGUCUGCAAAAGAGGAGAUAGAGAAGUCAGCAACAAAGGAAGAAGAAGAAGAGACACCUAAGUUAGCCAAAGAGGAAGAGGAACAGAUUAAGAAAGAAGAGGAGAAGAGGAAACAAAAGGAAGCAGCGAAGAUGAAGGAGCAGCAUCGCUUGGAGGAAAUAGCCAAAGCGAAAGAGGCAAUGGAGAGGAAGAAGAAGAGAGAAGAAAAAGCAAAAGCAAGAGCUGCUCUUAAGGCUCAGAAGGAAGCUGAAGAAAAGGAAAAGGUAACUUAUUAUUAUUAUAUAGUCUCUCUCGCCAGUAUGUUUAAGUUGGGACAAGAAUGAUUCAUAAACUCUUGUGCUUGUCAUUGAUCUGAUGCACAAACUCUCUCUUAUGUAGGAACGAGAAAAGAAACUAAGGAAGAAGGAGAGAAGAAAGGGAGUUAUUACAUCAGAAGAGACAGCAGAAAACCCAACUGAGACAUCAGAAGCUGUAAUCGAAACUCCAAGGGAGAUUGAUAUUCCAAAGAAACAAACCGCUGAGGAGAGCCAACAAAUCAAGAAGUCCCACAAACCAUCAUCACAGUUUCUCAAACAAAACAAGUCGAAAUCUAUUCCGCUACCUUUGAGGAACCGAGGAAGCAAGAAAAAACUGAAGCAGUGGAUGUGGAUUGGACUCAUAGUUCUGGUCGCCCUCGCAUUGUUUCUUCUCGGGAGCGC